rnacentral:rRNA from 1 species
AAUCAACGCUGGCGGCGUGCCUAACACAUGCAAGUCGAACGAGAAAGUGGAGCAAUCCAUGAGUACAGUGGCGACCGGGUGAGUAACACGUGACUAACCUACCCUCGAGUGGGGGAUAACUCCGGGAAACCGGGGCUAAUACCGCAUAACAUCGCUUGGUGAAAUUCCUUGUGAUCAAAGGAGCAAUUCGUUUGAGGAGGGAGUCGCGUCUGAUUAGCUAGUUGGUGAGGUAACGGCCCACCAAGGCGAUGAUCAGUAGCCGGCCUGAGAGGGCGCACGGCGACACUGGAACUGAGACACGGUCCAGACUCCUACGGGAGGAAGCAGUGGGGAAUUUUGCGCAAUGGGGGAAACCCUGACGCAGCAACGCCGCGUGGAGGAUGAAGUCCUUUGGGAUGUAAACUCCUUUCGACCGGGAAGAUUAUGACGGUACCGGAGGAAGAAGCACCGGCUAACUCUGUGCCAGCCGCCGCGGUAACAC